GCCUGUUUAGCUCAGUUGGUAGAGCAUGGGACUCUUAAUCCCAGGGUCGUGGGUUCGAGCCCCACAGUGGNNN
rnacentral:tRNA from 1 species